GCACUGUAGUCAGAGUUUGAUCCUGGCUCAGGAUGAACGCUAGCUACAGGCUUAACACAUGCAAGGUCGAGGGGCAGCAUGAAUAUUGGCUUGCCAAUAUUUGAUGGCGACCGGCGCACGGGUGAGUAACACGUAUCCAACCUUCCGGUUACUCGGGGAUAGGCUUUCGAAAGAAAGAUUAAUACCCGAUGUUGCGUAUCUUUCUCCUGAAAGAUACGCCAAAGGAUUCCGGUAACCGAUGGGGAUGCGUUCCAUUAGGCAGUUGGCGGGGUAACGGCCCACCAAACCUUCGAUGGAUAGGGGAGCUGAGAGGCUUAUCCCCCACAUUGGGACUGAGACACGGCCCAA
rnacentral:rRNA from 1 species